CAGCCGCCACGGGAAUACGUAGGGUGCGAGCGUUAAUCGGAAUUACUGGGCGUAAAGGGCGCAUAGGCGGCGAUCAAAGUCAGGCGUGAAAUUCCUGGGCUCAACCUGGGGGCUGCGCUUGAUACUUGGUUGCUUGAGUGGGGAAGAGGGUCGUGGAAUUCCCAGUGUAGAGGUGAAAUUCGUAGAUAUUGGGAAGAACACCGGUGGCGAAGGCGGCGACCUGGUCCUUGACUGACGCUGAGGCGCGAAAGCGUGGGGAGCAAACAGGAUUAGAUACCCGUGUAGUCCCUGUCUCUUAUAC
rnacentral:rRNA from 1 species